rnacentral:lncRNA from 1 species
UAUAUGGGGUUUGUUAACGCGUAUAUGCCUGUUUUUGAGUUGAUACAUUUUAACAAUAUGUACCGAAUUAUAGUAAAGAGAAAUACCCUCAUAUAUUAUGGAUUCUAAGUUUUAAAGUUAAGGAUAUUUAAAUAAUUUUCAUUCUCAAAACUAAAAAAAAAAACAAAGAAACCUCUCAAACCCUUACUCACCUCUCUCAUUCCUCUCAAUCAUUUCUCUUUCAUCUAUCUCACUUCAACCUUUUCUCUGUUAUCUCUAGCCCCAAUUAAAAAAAAUAAAAAAUGUUAAGCAAUUUCUUACAAAAAUAAUAAUU